rnacentral:rRNA from 1 species
AUACGGAGGAUGCGAGCGUUAUCCGGAUUUAUUGGGUUUAAAGGGUGCGUAGGCGGAUUAAUAAGUCAGUGGUGAAAACCUGCAGCUUAACUGUGGAACUGCCGUUGAUACUGUUAGUCUUGAGUAUGGUCAAGGUAGGCGGAAUGUGUAAUGUAGCGGUGAAAUGCUUAGAUAUUACACAGAACACCGAUUGCGAAGGCAGCUUACUGGGCCACAACUGACGCUGAUGCACGAAAGCGUGGGGAUCGAACAGGAUUAGAUACCCUGGUAGUCCACGCCGUAAACGAUGAUCACUCGCUGUUAGCGAUAUACCGUUAGCGGCUAAGCAAAAGCAUUAAGUGAUCCACCUGGGGAGUACGGCCGCAAGGCUGAA